rnacentral:rRNA from 1 species
GCAGAACGCGAAGAACCUUACCCACCUUUGACAUGUACGGAAGUUGCCAGAGAUGGCUUCGUGCUCGAAAGAGAGCCGUAACACAGGUGCUGCAUGGCUGUCAUCAGCUCGUGUCGUGAGAUGUUGGGUUAAGUCCCGCAACGAGCGCAACCCUUGUCAUUAGUUGCUACGAAAGGGCACUCUAAUGAGACUGCCGGUGACAAACCGGAGGAAGGUGGGGAUGACGUCAAGUCCUCAUGGCCCUUAUAGGUGGGGCUACACACGUCAUACAAUGGCCGGUACAAAGGGCAGCCAACCCGCGAGGGGGAGCUAAUCCCAUAAAGCCGGUCGUAGUCCGGAUCGCAGUCUGCAACUCGACUGCGUGAAGUCGGAAUCGCUAGUAAUCGUGGAUCAGCAUGUCACGGUGAAUACGUUCCC